AUUUAAAGAAAGCGUAAUAGCUCACUGGUCGAGUCGGCCUGCGCGGAAGAUGUAACGGGGCUAAACCAUGCACCGAAGCUGCGGCAGCGACGCUGAUGCGUUGUUGGGUAGGGGAGCGUUCUGUAAGCCUGUGAAGGUGGCCUGUGAGGGUUGCUGGAGGUAUCAGAAGUGCGAAUGCUGACAUAAGUAACGAUAAAGCGGGUGAAAAGCCCGCUCGCCGGAAGACCAAGGGUUCCUGUCCAACGUUAAUCGGGGCAGGGUGAGUCGACCCCUAAGGCGAGGCCGAAAGGCGUAGUCGAUGGGAAACGGGUUAAUAUUCCCGUACUUGGUGUUACUGCGAAGGGGGGACGGAGAAGGCUAUGUUGGCCGGGCGACGGUUGUCCCGGUUUAAGCGUGUAGGUGUGUGUUCCAGGUAAAUCCGGUUCACUUUAACACUGAGGCGUGAUGACGAGGCACUACGGUGCUGAAGCAACAAAUGCCCUGCUUCCAGGAAAAGCCUCUAAGCAUCAGGUAACAUCAAAUCGUACCCCAAACCGACACAGGUGGUCAGGUAGAGAAUACCAAGGCGCUUGAGAGAACUCGGGUGAAGGAACUAGGCAAAAUGGUGCCGUAACUUCGGGAGAAGGCACGCUGACAC
rnacentral:rRNA from 1 species